rnacentral:rRNA from 1 species
UACAGAGGGUGCGAGCGUUAAUCGGAAUUACUGGGCGUAAAGCGUGCGUAGAUGGUUAUGUAAGUCGGAUGUGAAAGCCCCGGGCUCAACCUGGGAAUUGCAUUCGAGACUGCAUAGCUAGGAUGCGGAAGAGGGAAGCGGAAUUUCCGGUGUAGCGGUGAAAUGCGUAGAUAUCGGAAGGAACACCAGUGGCGAAAGCGGCUUCCUGGUCCAGCAUCGACGUUCAGGCACGAAAGCGUGGGGAGCAAACAGGAUUAGAAACCCCCGUAGUCC